AUUCCAGCUCCAAUAGCGUAUACUAAAGUUGUUGCAGUUAAAAAGCUCGUAGUUGAAUUUCUGGGUGCGAUAGGCGGUCCGUGUGCAUAACAUGUGUACCUCCCUCUCAUGCCCAUCCUCGAAGUGAAUAUGCAUUGCCUUAACUGUGUCGUGUAUAGGACCUUCGUCAUUUACUGUGAGCAAAAUAGAGUGUUCAAAGCAGGCUUAUGCCGUUGAAUAUAUUAGCAUGGAAUAAUAAGAUAUGACUUCCGUCUAUUUUGUUGGUUUGCAUUCGGAAGUAAUGAUUAAUAGGGAUAGUUGGGGGUUUUCGUAUUCAAUUGUCAGAGGUGAAAUUCUUGGAUUUAUGGAAGACGAACUACUGCGAAAGCAUCAACCAAGGAUGUUUUCAUUG
rnacentral:rRNA from 1 species